UACAUCGCGGCCAACGGCACGGAGACCACAGAGAUUACCGUAAAUACGCCUACUCGCCCCCGUGGCGACAUUGAAUUCGAACCAGCUCGUCGGCCUGGUGAGACAACUGGAAAUUUGUCCCCUUUCUUCCACACGACAAGUACUGCUGCAGAUAAGUCGCCUUCUCCCACUCCGCCUAAACCUAGUGCUGGUUUAAGCGAUGUUAUGAGGGAAUCAAUACAAGACUUGCUGUCUGCCAUGGAAGCGGCAAGCCUGACGCCGAGUCAUAGGAAACAAAUAGUGACGCAAUCUCCUUCAAUCAUCAAACCGCUACAUGGCGAGACGCCGGACGCUG